CAUUCUUCAACAGACUGUGCUCCGAAUUUGGGACUGUUUGUUUUAUGAAGGAUCAAAAAUAAUCUUUCGUGUGGCCUUAACAUUAAUUAAGCAACAUCAAGAUUUCAUUUUGGAAGCUACAAAUUUUCCUGAAAUCUGUGAAAAAUUUAAGCAGAUUACUACAGGGUCAUUUGUAACUGAGUGUCACAUAUUCAUGCAGAAAAUAUUUACGGAACCUGGAAGUCUGCGAAUGGCUACAAUAAACAAACUACGAGAUACGUGUAGAGCAAAUCUGAUUACUUCAGUCUAAAUGAACAUUACUUCACUUGCUCAGAUACAAUUUUCUCAGGCUGCCAUUGACACUUCACUAAUUAGCGCCAGCCUUUCAUGUGUUCAGUGGGAUUUUUUUAUUUAAAAAAAGCACAAACACUUUAAUUAUUAUGUAAAUAAAAUGUAAUGUAGAUGUAAUCCCUUUUCAACAAAUGGACUAUAUAUUUUCAGACAUUUUUGUAAUAACAGAAUACAAAACUAUAUAAUAAAGUAUAUUUGAAGCUAUCAUUUUUUGAACUGUAACCAUGUUAAGGCUCUGGACUUUAAGUAGAGAUCCUUGUUUAGAAAACUAGUGCUCUACUUAAUCUCACUUUUUUUUUUUUAAAGAACAGCAUAUCUACCUUUUUCUGUUGUCUGGCUCUGCUAAAUGAGAUUAUUUUAUUUAUAUGCACACACACGCUUACAUUCUGAAUAGUGAACUUUGAUAGAAUCAAAAACACCAGGAGUUACACCUUACAGCAAAUUAAGAAACAAUUUAUGUUUCUACUUUUCUGCAUGUUUAUGUUUCUUUCUACUUUUCUAUAGUGAGCAAAAUGUUUCAUGUGAAGUUUUGUCCUGAAUAAUCUGCUUCAUCCCAGAACUGUCGGUUGUACAAGAGCUGCAAUCUCCUAUGUUACUCCCAUGUGCUGCUAAUGGGAAGUUAUUCUAUCAAGGAAUAACCAAGUUGUUUUUUCUUAAUCAAUCUACUACUUUGUAACAUUUUAACUUGCUGUAGUAUUGUGGGGAAUCUCUAUGGAUAAAACUAUAGCAAACACAAGAGCUCAGGUUCAUGUGUGACAAGGAAAUUCCAUAAACACAGAUCCACUUGUUUAAUGGUAAAUUCCUCCACACACUCCAAAGAAAAAAAUCAAUUAUACAAGGAUCGAAGGAAUAUUAUUUGAAAUACAAAACACGGAUUUAGAUUUUAGGCUUAUAGUUUACAACUAAGAAUCUGAGGUAAUAGAGUUACCCCUCCAAACUUUACAAACAAGCUUAAUUUACUUCAAAAUCAAAGCAGCCUUGUAACUGCUUAAAAGAACACCGAGAACAUACAGAAAAGUCUUUAUUAGCAUUGUUACAGGCAAUGCAUUCAUAACUGAUCCUUGCAGUGUACAGUCCCAGCCAAAGUCAAAGCAAGAAUUAACAGAUUGAAAUUUAUUGUACACAUGUGCAGAAACAGGAUCUCCUUUGAACUUCCAACAAAAGAGACUGAAAUUCACUUUACCAAAAAUAAAGUAACACCCAUUUUCAUGUAAAAAAGGGCCAGCUCCUACUAAGCUGACAGACCAAAAAUAUAUUAAGAGUUAGCCACAUUUUAUUUUCACACUUUGCAUAUACCAAGCUUAGCAUUUAAAGAUUAAUGAUACACACCUAGGUAGAGGCAAAGUGGGAA